rnacentral:rRNA from 2 species
GAGCAUGUGGUUUAAUUCGAAGCAACGCGAAGAACCUUACCAAAUCUUGACAUCCCUCUGACAAACUGUGUAAAGCAGUCUUCUUCGGACAGAGGUGACAGGUGGUGCAUGGUUGUCGUCAGCUCGUGUCGUGAGAUGUUGGGUUAAGUCCCGCAACGAGCGCAACCCUUGUCUUUAGUAGCCAGCAUUUCGGAUGGGCACUCUAGAGAGACUGCCAGGGAUAACCUGGAGGAAGGUGGGGAUGACGUCAAAUCAUCAUGCCCCUUAUGAUUUGGGCUACACACGUGCUACAAUGGCGUAAACAAAGGGAAGCGACCCUGUGAAGGCAAGCAAAUCCCAAAAAUAACGUCUCAGUUCGGAUUGUAGUCUGCAACUCGACUACAUGAAGCUGGAAUCGCUAGUAAUCGCGAAUCAGAAUGUCGCGGUGAAUACGUUCCCGGGCA